UAAGACUGGGAUAACUUCGGGAAACCGGAGCUAAUGCCGGAUAACAUAUAGAACCGCAUGGUUCUAUAGUGAAAGAUGGUUUUGCUAUCACUUAUAGAUGGACCCGCGCCGUAUUAGCUAGUUGGUAAGGUAAUGGCUUACCAAGGCGACGAUACGUAGCCGACCUGAGAGGGUGAUCGGCCACACUGGAACUGAGACACGGUCCAGACUCCUACGGGAGGCAGCAGUAGGGAAUCUUCCGCAAUGGGCGAAAGCCUGACGGAGCAACGCCGCGUGAGUGAUGAAGGUUUUCGGAUCGUAAAACUCUGUUAUUAGGGAAGAACAAAUGCGUAAGUAACUGUGCGCAUCUUGACGGUACCUAAUCAGAAAGCCACGGCUAACUACGUGCCAGCAGCCGCGGUAAUACGUAGGUGGCAAGCGUUAUCCGGAAUUAUUGGGCGUAAAGCGCGCGUAGGCGGUUUCUUAAGUCUGAUGUGAAAGCCCACGGCUCAACCGUGGAGGGUCAUUGGAAACUGGGAAACUUGAGUGCAGAAGAGGGAAGUGGAAUUCCAUGUGUAGCGGUGAAAUGCGCAGAGAUAUGGAGGAACACCAGUGGCGAAGGCGACUUUCUGGUCUGUAACUGACGCUGAUGUGCGAAAGCGUGGGGAUCAAACAGGAUUAGAUACCCUGGUAGUCCACGCCGUAAACGAUGAGUGCUAAGUGUUAGGGGGUUUCCGCCCCUUAGUGCUGCAGCUAACGCAUUAAGCACUCCGCCUGGGGAGUACGACCGCAAGGUUGAAACUCAGAG
rnacentral:rRNA from 1 species